GGUAAACGCUGGCGGCGUGCCUAAAACAUGCAAGUCGAACGCACCACGCAAGUGGUGAGUGGCAGACGGCUGAGUAACGCGUGGGUGACCUGCCCCCUGGUGGGGAAUAACUGCCCGAAAGGGUGGCUAAUACCGCAUAGGUCCCCGAGGUCAGACUCGGGGGCAAAGCCGCAAGGCGCCAGGGGAGGGGCCCGCGUCCGAUUAGCUGGUUGGUGGGGUAAUGGCCUACCAAGGCGACGAUCGGUAGCUGGUCUCAGCGGAUGAUCAGCCAGACUGG
rnacentral:rRNA from 1 species